GUGCUCGCUUCCACAGCACAUAUACGAAAAUUAGACAAUACAAAGAUUAGCAUGGCCCCUGUGCAAGGAUGACACACAAAUUCGUGAAGCGUUCCAUAUUUUU